CGGUAAUUCCAGCUCCAAUAGCGUAUAUUAAAGUUGUUGCCGUUAAAAAGCUCGUAGUCGAACUUCGGCCUUUGCCGCCCGGUCCGCCCUAUGGGUGUGUACUGGAGCGGUGGAGGCUUACCUCGUGGUGAACGGCCAUGCUCUUUACUGGGUGUGGUCGGGAACCAUGAUUUUUACUUUGAAAAAAUUAGAGUGUUCAAAGCAGGCUUACGCCCGAAUACAUUAGCAUGGAAUAAUAAAAUAGGACGUGCGGUUCUAUUUUGUUGGUUUCUAGAAUCGCCGUAAUGAUUAAUAGGGAUAGUUGGGGGCAUUCGUAUUCAAUUGCUAGAGGUGAAAUUCUUGGAUUUAUUGAAGACGAACUACUGCGAAAGCAUUUGCCAAGGAUGUUUUCAUUGAUCAAGAACGAAGGUUAGGGGAUCGAAAACGAUCAGAUACCGUUGUAGUCUUAACAGUAAACGAUGCCGACUAGGGAUCGGACGAGGAUUUUUAAUGACUCGUUCGGCACCUGAAGAGAAAUCUUUAAGUCUAGGUUCGGGGGGGAGUAUGGUCGCAAGGCUGAAACUUAAAGGAAUUGACGGAAGGGCACCACCAGGUGUGGAGCCUGCGGCUUAAUUUGACUCAACACGGGGAAACUCACCAGGUCCAGACACGACAAGGAUUGACAGAUUGAUAGCUCUUUCUUGAUUUCGUGGUUGGUGGUGCAUGGCCGUUCUUAGUUGGUGGAGUGAUUUGUCUGGUUAAUUCCGAUAACGAACGAGACCUUAACCUGCUAAAUAGCCCGGCCGACUUUGGUUGGUCGCUGGCUUCUUAGAGGGACUAUCAGCGUUUAGCUGAUGGAAGUUUGAGGCAAUAACAGGUCUGUGAUGCCCUUAGAUGUUCUGGGCCGCACGCGCGCUACACUGACCGAACCAGCGAGUUUAUCUCCUUGGCCGGAAGGCCUGGGUAAUCUUGUGAAACUCGGUCGUGAUGGGGAUAGAGCAUUGCAAUUAUUGCUCUUCAACGAGGAAUACCUAGUAAGCGUGAGUCAUCAGCUCGCGUUGAAUUCGUCCCUGCCCUUUGUACACACCGCCCGUCGCUACUACCGAUUGAAUGGCUUAGUGAGGUCUCCGGAUUGGCUUCUGGGAGCCGGCAAUGGCACCUAGUCGCUGAGAAGUUGAACGAACUUGGUCAUUUAGAGGAAGUAAAAGUCGUAACAAGGUAGCCG
rnacentral:rRNA from 1 species